GAGCGUUGUCCGGAUUUAUUGGGCGUAAAGAGCUCGUAGGCGGUUCGAUAAGUCGGACGUGAAAUCUCCACGCUCAACGUGGAGGGGCCGUUCGAUACUGUCGUGACUCGAGUCCGGUAGGGGAGUGUGGAAUUCCCGGUGUAGCGGUGAAAUGCGCAGAUAUCGGGGGGAACACCAAUGGCGAAGGCAGCUCGCUGGGACGUUACUGACGCUGAGACGCGAAAGCGUGGGGAGCAAACAGG
rnacentral:rRNA from 1 species